UCCCCCUUGCUCUGCCCAUUCACCCCCCGGCUCUUCCCCCCGGGAGUCCCCCCCCCGCUCUGCCCAUUCACCCCACGGCUCUUCCCCCCGGGAUACCCCCCCCCUUCUGCCCAUUCACCCCACGGCUCUUCCCCCCGGGAGUCCCUCCCCCCCCCCGCUCUGCCCAUUCACCCCACGGCUCUUCCCCCCGGGAUACCCCCCCCCUUCUGCCCAUUCACCCCACGGCUCUUCCCCCCGGGAGUCCCUCCCCCCCUCUGCUCUGCCCCAUUCACC